CAUUCCAAAUCUCUACAAGAACAACUUGAAGCAGAAAGAAAUUCUUUCCAUGAAAAACAUAAAAAGGACAUUGGGUCAUUGAAAGAGCAACUACAAGUUCAUAUACAAACUAUUGGGAUACUAGUAGCUGAAAAAACAGAGUUACAAUCUCAGGUGAAUCAAGUUCAGAGAAUAGCUGAUCAGAGAAUAGAAGAAAUUGAAGAGCUGAGUGGUCGACUGAAGGCUUCCAGACAGCGUGUUUCAGACUUGGAGCGGACACUAUCAACGUCCUCUCAAUCCAGUCACCAAUUGGAAAAGGUAACUCUUUUGAAGCAGAAAACUUCUCUCUCCUGUUUUUUUUUUUAAACCUAGGAUUAAUAUUUCUCAUUUUCUCAUUCUCAUUCUGUUUCAUUAUGUGCCUUUUCCACAUGAAAUAAAUCUGUGUACAUGACCAUAUCUAGUCAUUUUAUGUGACUGGCUGUCUUCUGUAAAUGUUUUUAAUUAGCAAUUUUACCAAACAGCCAUCUACUAAUCACAUUCCAAUGUACUGAGAUAAAGACUGCAAAGUUCCAAUAACUUUCAUGGCAAAGACGAUUUUGUGUGUACCAGAGUUUGAACUUUCUCUAAGGAAUUGAUUUGUUUUAAUAUUCAUUGUCUGCUAUAUUAUCAUCACUUUGUUCUAUGUUUGUUUGCUAUAUUAUCAUUACUUUGUGCUAUGUUUAUGGCUACUUGGCCAGCAUGUUGUAUGCUAAUCAAUGUUUUUUGUUUUGAUGGAAAUGGUUUUAUGAGCAGAUACAUUUGCAUAAAUUAUUUGUUCCAUAUCUUUGAUGCAUAUCUCUGUGAUAUUUUCUAGCAAC
rnacentral:sRNA from 1 species